GCAUCAAACAGGAAUUUGUUAGAAAUACAGAUUCUUAGGCCUUCCACCAGACCCACUGAAUGAAAACCUCCAGGGCUGGAGCCCAGAAAUCUGCAUUUUAAUACACCUUCAGGGGAGACUGAUAC
rnacentral:miRNA from 1 species